GCCAGGUGCGGUGGCUCGCGCCUGUAAUCCCAGAACUUUGGGAGGCAGAGGCAGAGGGAUCACUUGAGGUCAGGAGUUUGCGACAAGCCUGGCCAACAUGGUGAAACUCUGUCUCUA
ensembl:misc_RNA Metazoa_SRP Metazoan signal recognition particle RNA